CACCACGCUGCCAGUAAAGGAAAUGGCCUGAAACCCUGUUCUCCGAUAUUGUUCAGGACAUAGUAGCCUGUACUCACUGCCUGUUUACUCAAGCGAAAGGGCUCAGACUGCUUCCUCUAACGGUUGCAGAGAAGGGCUGAAGCUUUGUCAGCUGAGCCUUUGAGAUCUGGCUGGCUGUGAAUGAAUAAUUAAACUCCUGCCAAUGCAAAGAAAACCAACCACCAGGACUCCCAGAUAGUAUCAAGAAACUGAAACUCACCAGAUCACUGCCUCUGGACCAUGAGAUGUCAGAUCCCUCACCUGUCACGAUUGCCUAACUGACCACCUGCUUCCUGUUGACCAUCUCCUCUUCCCUACCCUCCUUAGUUCUUGUUUUCCCAUACAUUGUUACAUUUCUUCCUUGCUCUAUAAACCUCUAAUUACAGUCAGUUGGGGAGAUGGAUGUGGGACUGAUCUCCCAUCUCCUUGGCUGCAGCACCCAAUUAAACCUUCUUUCCUGGCAAUACUCAUUGUCUCAGUGAUUGGCUUUCUGUGUGGUGAGCAGCAGGACGUAGGCCAAACCCCUGGUAUUUCAGUAACAUUUCCUUCUUGGAACACAGUCCCAUAUUGUAAGGAACCCAACCCACAUGGAGAGGCCAGGUGGAAGAGAGUGGAGGCACUCAGUCUAUGGUCCCAGCUUAGUUCCCAACUAACAGCCAGCAUCAACCACCAGCCAUGUAAGCUCUCCACUGUGGACAUUCAGCUCAGCCAAGGCCCCACCCAGUUGACUAGAGUCCCACCUGACAUCACAUGCAAAAGAGCUACCCAGGUGAGCCAAGUCAGCCUAUACAGUUAGAAAGAAAAUAAAAUGAUUGUUGUUUCUAAGAUGCUAAGUUUUGAGGUGGUUUGUUUUUGUGCAACAUAUGAUUGAAACAGACCUUCAAUAAAUGUCUUGGCUUCUAGUGAAGACUUUUUUUGUCAUCAUUUAUGACCUAAUAUGUUAGGAAUCCAGAAGGCAG
rnacentral:lncRNA from 1 species